AAUUUUGGACAAUGGGGGCAACCCUGAUCCAGCCAUCCCGCGUGUGUGAUGAAGGCCUUCGGGUUGUAAAGCACUUUUGGCAGGGAAGCAAAGGCGCAGGCUAAAACCCUGUGCUGCUGACUGUACCUGUAGAAUAAGCACCGGCUACCUACGUUCCACCAGCCGCGGUAAUACGUAGGGUGCGAGCGUUAAUCGGAAUUACUGGGCGUAAAGCGUGCGUCGGCGGUUUGGCAAGAAAGGUGUGAAAUCCCAGAGCUUAACUUUGGAACUGCACUUUUAACUGCCAGGCUAGAGUAUGUCAGAGGGGGGUAGAAUUCCGCGUGUAGCAGUGAAAUGCGUAGAGAUGCGGAGGAAUACCGAUGGCGAAGGCAGCCCCCUGGGAUAAUACUGACGCUCAGGCACGAAAGCGUGGGGAGCAAAC
rnacentral:rRNA from 1 species